rnacentral:rRNA from 1 species
ACUAGCCCUGAAAAUGGAUGGCGCUCAAGCGUCGCACCUACACUGUGCCGUCGGGGCAGAGGCCAGGCCCCGACGAGUAGGAGGGCGCGGCGGUCGUGACGCAGCCUCUGGCGCGAGCCUGGGCGAAACGGCCUCCGGUGCAGAUCUUGGUGGUAGUAGCAAAUAUUCAAAUGAGAGCUUUGAAGACCGAAGUGGAGAAAGGUUCCAUGUGAACAGCAGUUGGACAUGGGUUAGUCGAUCCUAAGAGAUAGGGAAGCUCCGUUUUCAAGCGCCCAAUCGCGGGCCGCCUAUCGAAAGGGAAUCGGGUUAAUAUUCCCGAACCGGAACACGGAUAUCGCCACUCGCUGGCGGGUGCGGCGACGCAAACGAACCCGGAGACGCCGGCGGGGGCCCUGGGAAGAGUUCUCUUUUCUUUUUAACGGACUUUCACCCUGAAAUCAGCUUGCCUGGAGAUAGGGUUCCAUGUCCGGUAAAGCACCACACUUCUUGUGGUGUCCGGUGCGCUCCCGACGGCCCUUGAAAAUCCGGGGGAGACAGUGAUUUUCGUGUCCGGUCGUACUCAUAACCGCAGCAGGUCUCCGAGGUGAGCAGCCUCUGGUUGAUAGAACAAUGUAGGUAAGGGAAGUCGGCAAAAUGGAUCCGUAACCUCGGGAAAAGGAUUGGCUC